UUUAUCUGCAAGGAGAGAAAAAAAAGGGACGUUAACCAUUAGCCUUUAAAUUCCUGCUCUGGUCUUCUACUUCAGUACAUUUCCACAGUCCACCAAUGACACAUCCCUGUCCGACAGCAUUGCCAAGCUGGUUUCCAUAACUGCACAUGAAAAGAAACAAAACAAUUCCAUCUGGGCGAGACCAGCCUCCGUGUCCUCAAGUCAAGAAUUACAUUGUGCUCAGUUGUCACAUUACUUCAACAACAAGACCAUGGUGCUUGCCUACGGAGCUGUGAGGGGAACGGCACCUCAGUACCUAAUGGCUCUGAUCAGGCCCUACACCCAAACAAGGGCACUGCGUUCAUCCACCUCUGGCCUGCUCACCUCCCUACCACUGAGGAAGUACAGUUCCCGCGCAGCCCAGUCAAAACUGUUCGCUGCUCUGGCCCCCCAAUGGUGGAACAAACUCCCUCACGACGCCAGGACAGCGGAGUCAAUCACCACCUUCCGGAGACACCUGAAACCCCACCUCUUUCAGGAAUACCUAGGAUAGGAUAAAGUAAUCCUUCUCACCCCCCCCCCCCUUAAAAGAUUUAGAUGCACUAUUGUAAAGUGGCUGUUCCACUGGAUGUCUUAAGGUGAACGCACCAAUUUGUAAGUCGCUCUGGAUAAGAGCGUCUGCUAAAUGACUUAAAUGUUAAAUGUUACUUACUGUCGUCUCUGUCUGCCUGCCUUUCUGUACGUGUCAGUCUGUACUUGUCCGUGAAUGACAUGUCAGUGAUCAAAGCGUGCAUACAUUUGCAGUCGUUACAGCUACAUAUUUUGUCUAGAUAGGUCAUGCUGGGGGCGAAGGCUAACUUGUCUGAAAUGGGACAACUAAUAGGUCAAUUUGUCAAACUGCACCUCUCCUGUAAACGUUUCAACUAAAGAGUCUUUUCGUGGUUAAAUUAAAAAUUCACUUGGCAGACAA